rnacentral:rRNA from 1 species
UACGUAGGGUGCGAGCGUUUGUCCGGAAUUACUGGGCGUAAAGAGCUCGUAGGUGGUUUGUCGCGUUGUUCGUGAAAUCUCACGGCUUAACUGUGAGCGUGCGGGCGAUACGGGCAGACUAGAGUACUGCAGGGGGAGACUGGAAUUCCUGGUGUAGCGGUGGAAUGCGCAGAUAUCAGGAGGAACACCGGUGGCGAAGGCGGGUCUCUGGGCAGUAACUGACGCUGAGGAGCGAAAGCGUGGGGGAGCGAACAGG